GACGAACGCUUGCGGCGUGCCUAAGAAAUGCAAGUCGAGCGGGACUGAAAGCUGAAUACUGAAUACUGAAAGCUGAAUAACGGCGACGUUGGUCUUUUUUGAGCCUUCAGCAUUUAGUCAUUCAGCUUUCAGUCUAGCGGCGAACGGUCGCGUACCACGUAAGCAACCUGCCGGAAAGACCGGGACAACAUCUCGAAAGGGGUGCUAAUACCGGAUGUGGCCG
rnacentral:rRNA from 1 species